rnacentral:piRNA from 1 species
UGCUAUUCUGAGGGUAGUCUUGUG